rnacentral:tRNA from 1 species
GGGCGGUUAGCUCAGCUGGUUAGAGCGCCUCUCUGAUAAGGAGGAGGUCCCAGGUUCAAGUCCUGGAUCGCCCACCA